rnacentral:rRNA from 1 species
AGAGUUUGAUCAUGGCUCAGGACGAACGCUGGCGGCGUGCUUAACACAUGCAAGUCGAACGGUGAAGCCCUUCGGGGUGGAUCAGUGGCGAACGGGUGAGUAACACGUGGGAAAUCUGCCCUGCACUCUGGGACAAGCCUUGGAAACGAGGUCUAAUACCGGAUAUGACCUUCCUCUGCAUGGGGGUUGGUGGAAAGCUCCGGCGGUGCAGGAUGAUCCCGCGGCCUAUCAGCUUGUUGGUGGGGUAAUGGCCUACCAAGGCGACGACGGGUAGCCGGCCUGAGAGGGCGACCGGCCACACUGGGACUGAGACACGGCCCAGACUCCUACGGGAGGCAGCAGUGGGGAAUAUUGCACAAUGGGCGAAAGCCUGAUGCAGCGACGCCGCGUGAGGGAUGACGGCCUUCGGGUUGUAAACCUCUUUCAGCAGGGAAGAAGCGCAAGUGACGGUACCUGCAGAAGAAGCACCGGCUAACUACGUGCCAGCAGCCGCGGUA